rnacentral:rRNA from 1 species
UACGGAGGGGGCUAGCGUUGUUCGGAAUUACUGGGCGUAAAGCGUGCGCAGGCGGUUGUGUAAGACAGAUGUGAAAUCCCCGGGCUCAACCUGGGAACUGCAUUUGUGACUGCACGGCUGGAGUGCGGCAGAGGGGAAUGGAAUUCCGCGUGUAGCAGUGAAAUGCGUAGAUAUGCGGAGGAACACCGAUGGCGAAGGCAAUCCCCUGGGCCUGCACUGACGCUCAUGCACGAAAGCGUGGGGAGCAAACAGG